CCUUCCCCCGCUCUCCCUCUCCCGUUACAGAAGCCGCCCGACGCCACCAUCGCCACCACCUCGUCGAUCCGGUGGCCACCGGCCUCCCCUCGUCGCGCCAAGGCGUCCAGGAGCUUCUCCAUCGUCGUCUCCUUCGCCUACGUGCUCUGAAUCGAGCCGGGACGCCCGUACGCUCGCCAUCGAGCUCAUCUCCGUCGCGUACAUCGCCGAUGUUCGUCGUCGUUGCCGCGGCUCCGGUUCACCUCCGGCCUCCCCGACCUCGCCAUCGCGCUUGCGGUGAGCCCCUCCUCCGAUUCCCGGCCUUUUGCCCUUCGAUCGGUGCCUUUUUACGCCGCCGAUGUUGCUGCCGUUACUUGCUUGCUGUUGCUAACCUCGUCCGUGCGCCUCGACCCGCGGCCGCCCGUGCGUGUGCCCGCCGCGGCAUGGCCGCGUCCGCCUGCGCUGCUGCCGCUCCUUGCACUGCUGCAGCUUGCUCCUGCUGCUGGCUGCUUCUCCUGCCGCUGCGCCGCCGCCGCUGCCUCUUGCUACAGACGCACCCACCGCAGCCGCUCGUACACACAUGCGCACCUGCUCGCCGUCCUCGUGCGUGCCAUGGCUAGCAAUGGCCGCAUGGCCGCAUGUGCCCUGUGUGUGCGUGUAUGCACAGCCAUGGGAACGGCUUGUGCCACCGCACAUGGGGCCGGCCAGAUUAGUUUAGCACUAAUCAGGCUAACUACCUCCCUAUGACAUGUGGAGCCCUCACCACUAAUUAAUCUAAUAUACUAGGAUACUUUAGUUACUGACUGUGACAUGUGGGACCUUCCCAUUAAUCAACCAGUUUAUUUAGCCUUUAAAUAAAUAUUGAGACAAUGACACAUGGGACCCACUUACACUGUUCUAUACUAGUAAAUGUGCCCGUGCGUUGAGAAAAAUAUCUCAGUUUUAUAAUUAAGUUUAGUGGCUCAACAUCCAAGCUCUAGAUCAAUACUUAGCAUUAAUUUCUCUAAUCCAUAUACCUAGACAAUCGGCAACAUGGACUUAAAUAUAUGUCCGUGCGUUGCAACGGUGAUAUAAAUAUUCUAAUGGCGCUAUCAAGACGAAUAGCACAGAAGAAUUUUGAUUUGAAAUGUUGCCAUGACUACUUCUGUGUUGCAAAUUUUCCUUGCCUUAUACCCCAGGUCACCCUAAAUCAUUAUACAUAAAUAUAUGGAUGUGCCAAAAAAUAGGUUAAGCUAACUACAAUACUUACAAUACAAUAGUUAUGAAAUUCUUACACAGGGAGGAAGCAUGCAAACAAUGGCUAUCCUACAUCGCAAGUAUUUCUUGUAGAAUAUCCAGCAUUUUCCAGACUGAGCUCCUAUUGAUUUCAGACAAGCCAGAUAGCCCUUCUUCUCCUGUUUGAAAAGGCAGCUCUCAUAAAUAUAACAAGACGAAUACAACUAACCAGGAUGUACUUGUUUGCUUGUGCAAGUGACUGAGAGGAAAUACACCUUUUUUUAAGGAGCUAUGGGUCUCCCCUAUUUCCAACAAACGCCCCACCUAUUAGAAGUAACAAGGUUAUUCGAAGGUUGUAAGUUAGUCACAGGGUAGAAAACUGGCAACACAGGAAUGGAAACCAAUAUUCUUUUGUCGGUUGUCUGAAGCUAACAAAUUAGAAUUGUCCACACCUGCACUCCCAAGAACGUCAGGAUUCAGACUGCCAUGCCGCCGCUUGCAAUGCCCAAAUGCUGCAGGUUUCACAGGGCACAUCCAAUUGCUGCAGCCUGAGUGUGAGAUGGCCAACAAUAUGUUCCGGCCAUCCAAGACAAGCAGUGUGGUAUCCUCGCUCAAGCACACCAUCAAACCUCCAAAACUGCUCCCUGGUGCCAUAAUCACAUAUUGCAGGCUUUCAGUCAUAUAUGGAUUGCAAAUUUCUUCCAGCUGGUAUAACAUGCAAUCUUACUAUAUGUAUUAUCACUAAUGCACACCUUCAACCAAAUAACUACAGAGAUGUAGAGUGGAACCAUAUAGUACCUGUGAACGCGACGGCGAUUUUUUUGCUGGAACUAUUCUUUUUUUUGCUGGGACCGGCCAAACUUUUUGCUGCGACCCAGCUACGGCGAGUCAUUAUUUUUGCUGGAACCUACGAGUUUUAUUGCUGGAAACAUACAUUUGUUUUGUUAGAAGAAAAUAUAAAUAGAGCAUUAACUAACAGCAAGGCUAUUGGAUCUUGACACCAAAAUAGUCAAGAUCUUAGUUAAUUAAAAAAUAGUAAGAUCUUUAGUACAUGAUACCACUGAACAUGCGCAAGAUUCUUACAAAGUUUAACCAAGAAAGAAUAAUAUAAUAAAAGCACUUGAUCAAGACAGUUGCAACUCCUGUACCAAAUUUCUGUGAAGCUCUUCUAGCUGGUAUAAUAUGAAAACUUACUAUUUAUAUUAACACAGCCAACCACUAAUGUACACAUUCAGACAUGUAAAGUGGAACCAUAUAGCAUUGGUCUCAAGCACUAAUGCACACCUUCAGCCAGUUAAGUACAGAGACGGUAGAGUGGAACUAUAUAGCAUUGGUCUCAAGCACUAAUGCGCACCUUCAGCCAGUUAAGUACAGAGACGGUAGAGUGGAACUAUAUAGCACUGAUCUCAAGCACUAAUGCGCACCUUCAGCCAAUUAAGUACAGAGAUAUAGAGUGGAACUAUAUAGCACUGGUCUCAAGCACUAAUGCGCACCUUCAGCUAAGUAAGUACAAAGAUGUAGAGUGGAACCAUAUGGCACUGUUCUUACCAAGAUUAACAAAAAAGAGUCUUGUUCUCAGUGGCGGAGCUUGAAUGGAAAAGCUGGGCGGGCCAGACUAAAAGGAGAGCACAAUUUUUUUUGAAAUUCUGAAAGCUUUUUUAUUCUUCGCGCUUCUAAAAUCUGUGAUGACAUUAUCGUGGUUGUUGUUUUUUUCAAUUCGAGCAAUGGCAACAUGAUCUUUCUCAAUUUGAGUUAUGUCAUUUCUUUUCCUGUUAAAAACCAUAUCAAUUCUUCUCUUGAGUCUGAUUUUCUUUGCCCAUUACUACCUACGUUGCAAUUUGUAUAAGAUGAGGACUGCAUUAUGUGCCAAAGAUCAUGUUGCUUUUUUAAUAGCAUGUUUAACAACCUGCAUCUUAUUCCGACUAUGCACAUAACUCAAAUUGUACAUGUUGCCAAAGAACAUGUUAAUUUUUUCAGUUCAUUGCAUGUCAUGCAGACUCAAAUCAGGACUGCAUUUUGCGCCAACAAACAUGCAUAAGAUGUACUCAACUGAAAAAAAGAACAGGCUAAUUUGGGGGAAAGAUAGUAGUGUACGUUCUGCUGUGUAUGUGCAGCUAUGCAGUGGGCACUUGCGCCAGCAGUGGGUUGAGCUGGAGAGAGGACGGGGGGAUGAGCUGCCUGCCUGAGAGGAGAUGUGUCGCCUGAGAGGAGAUGUGUCGCCUGGUUAAUAGGCUCUGCAGGUGGGUUGGGUGGGAACAUGCAUAGGUAAAAAAAAACUGUCAUAUUCCUGGGCGGGCCAUGGCCCGGUCUGGCCCCAACAAAGCUCCGCCCCUGCUUGUUCUGUUCAUCAAAUUUAAUAGGUUUUGAAAACUGAAAAAGGCUUUUCCAUUAAGCGAAAACCAUAGGUAAAUAAUUGUUCAUGCACCUUGCCAAUUAGCACAAAUAGAGAUGUAAAUUAUCUCAGACAGUUAGAACACCCAAAAUUAUUUAACCAAUGCCCGUGCAUACAAUACCAUGAACAAUGCAUUACCUCUCUGCCUUCACCAUGAUAUUAGUUUACCUUUUUUUAUAUUUUUUCUGUUGUAUAGUAGCUAUUCUAACUUGAUAAAAAUUAAGUACAUCCAACCACUGUGUACACCUUGAGACAACUCCCAGUGUGCCCUUUUCUUAUAUUUUUCAAUACAAGAUAAAUAUAUUUUUAUUAAGUUUAGUGUAGAGGCCUUCAUGACAGGGGUGACAGUCGGCAAUCAGACAAUUCCAGUGCCAUCCCAUCAGUCAUGAAAAUUGCUUACUAAAUUAUUGCCAAACCUUGCGUAUUUUCUGAAACAAUUUUUAACGUUGCAAAUUGGACACUUCAGAUCCAAGAUUUGAUGUACUUGUUCCAAAUGGUGCUAGCUAACCACCUUCAUACUCUGGAAAAGUUGUCCAUUUUUUGCACACCGACACAUUAGUACAAUUAGCAAGCUGCAACUUAAAAUUAUGCACUGGUUCCCACUAACUCCACUCCAAUCUAUACACCAUACAGCUGGCACAUACCAAUUACAAUGUCAAUGGAAAGGAACCGUGCAAUUACAGUUUUGAAAGUUUUUUGCAAUCCUGGUUACUAAACACGAAUUUCUUUUUUUUGACAGAAAGACUGUAAGGAAAUCUCCUACAGUAUAAUUGAUGCAACAAACCCAAAUUGCAAAUACCAUGCCUUGAACCUGGGUGGGUGGGAAGGCAUCAACCCCUUCCCACCACUAGGCUAUGCCUUAGUCUGCCUAAACACGAAUUUCUUGGGCACAUUAUUAAAUUUGCAGGAGAGAACUUCAAGACAACACAAAACUAUAUGAUGUACAGAGUAUGUACUUAUGAAGGAAAAAACAGAGCAUGUGGAUUAAAAUUUGAUGUUCUGUUUCACAUGUACCCCAAAGACCAAAUGCUCUGCAGUUAAUUACUGAAUGUCUAUUCUGCAAUGAACUACUAACCCGUGCUCAAUGUUCUGCUGUUAACUUCUAACAUGUGACCUGUAAUCCAAUAUUACUGCUCCAGAUCCGUAGUAAACUCAUGUUCAGUAUCAACCUCCAGAUCCAUAGCAACCAUCUAUAGGCCGCAUCCUCCUCAUUCCCAUGUUCAUCGUCUCUGUUACAAAGAAACAUCAUCUCGAUGUAGAAUCAUAG
rnacentral:lncRNA from 1 species